UACACUCCUACGGGAGGCAGCAGUAGGGAAUCUUCCACAAUGGGUGCAAACCUGAUGGAGCAAUGCCGCGUGAGUGAAGAAGGUCUUCGGAUCGUAAAGCUCUGUUGUUAGAGAAGAACACGUGCUAGGUAACUACUAGCGCCUUGACGGCAUCUAACCAGAAAGUCACGGCUAACUACGUGCCAGCAGCCGCGGUAAUACGUAGGUGACAAGCGUUGUCCGGAUUUAUUGGGCGUAAAGGGAGCGCAGGCGGUCUGUUUAGUCUAAUGUGAAAGCCCACGGCUUAACCGUGGAACGGCAUUGGAAACUGACAGACUUGAAUGUAGAAGAGGAAAAUGGAAUUCCAAGUGUAGCGGUGGAAUGCGUAGAUAUUUGGAGGAACACCAGUGGCGGAGGCGAUUUUCUGGUCUAACAUUGACGCUGAGGCUCGAAAGCGUGGGGAGCGAACAGGAUUAGAAACCCGAGUAGUCCCA
rnacentral:rRNA from 1 species